GCCGCUUUAGCUCAGUCGGUAGAGCGUUUCACUCGUAAUGAAAAGGUCGCGAGUUCGAUUCUCGCAAGCGGCU
rfam:Corynebacterium variabile DSM 44702, complete genome.